UACCAAGGCGCUUGAGAGAACUCGGGUGAAGGAACUAGGCAAAAUGGUGCCGUAACUUCGGGAGAAGGCACGCUGAUAUGUAGGUGAAGUCCCUCGCGGAUGGAGCUGAAAUCAGUCGAAGAUACCAGCUGGCUGCAACUGUUUAUUAAAAACACAGCACUGUGCAAACACGAAAGUGGACGUAUACGGUGUGACGCCUGCCCGGUGCCGGAAGGUUAAUUGAUGGGGUCAGCGCAAGCGAAGCUCUUGAUCGAAGCCCCGGUAAACGGCGGCCGUAACUAUAACGGUCCUAAGGUAGCGAAAUUCCUUGUCGGGUAAGUUCCGACCUGCACGAAUGGCGUAAUGAUGGCCAGGCUGUCUCCACCCGAGACUCAGUGAAAUUGAACUCGCUGUGAAGAUGCAGUGUACCCGCGGCAAGACGGAAAGACCCCGUGAACCUUUACUAUAGCUUGACACUGAACAUUGAGCCUUGAUGUGUAGGAUAGGUGGGAGGCUUUGAAGUGUGGACGCCAGUCUGCAUGGAGCCGACCUUGAAAUACCACCCUUUAAUGUUUGAUGUUCUAACGUGGACCCGUGAUCCGGGUUGCGGACAGUGUCUGGUGGGUAGUUUGACUGGGGCGGUCUCCUCCUAAAGAGUAACGGAGGAGCACGAAGGUUGGCUAAUCCUGGUCGGACAUCAGGAGGUUAGUGCAAUGGCAUAAGCCAGCUUGACUGCGAGCGUGACGGCGCGAGCAGGUGCGAAAGCAGGUCAUAGUGAUCCGGUGGUUCUGAAUGGAAGGGCCAUCGCUCAACGGAUAAAAGGUACUCCGGGGAUAACAGGCUGAUACCGCCCAAGAGUUCAUAUCGACGGCGGUGUUUGGCACCUCGAUGUCGGCUCAUCACAUCCUGGGGCUGAAGUAGGUCCCAAGGGUAUGGCUGUUCGCCAUUUAAAGUGGUACGCGAGCUGGGUUUAGAACGUCGUGAGACAGUUCGGUCCCUAUCUGCCGUGGGCGCUGGAGAACUGAGGGGGGCUGCUCCUAGUACGAGAGGACCGGAGUGGACGCAUCACUGGUGUUCGGGUUGUCAUGCCAAUGGCACUGCCCGGUAGCUAAAUGCGGAAGAGAUAAGUGCUGAAAGCAUCUAAGCACGAAACUUGCCCCGAGAUGAGUUCUCCCUGACCCUUUAAGGGUCCUGAAGGAACGUUGAAGACGACGACGUUGAUAGGCCGGGUGUGUAAGCGCAGCGAUGCGUUGAGCUAACCGGUACUAAUGAACCGUGAGGCUUAACCUUACAACGCCGAAGGUGUUU
rnacentral:rRNA from 1 species